CAAGGAGGGCUUUAGUAUUCCAAAACUGUUUAAAAAACGAUCAAAAGACACUGGACGCUACGCCGUCCUGAACAAUACUUAAGCUGCUGACGCGUCAUCAUUCCCCAAAUGACUCGGCAGUAGAGGUGCCAAAGGACUCGCGCGCCUUUGUUUUACUCCUAAUGGUCUUGACCCGGCUUCACCCCCCAGAAUCCGG
rnacentral:sRNA from 21 species